UUCUAAGGGAUUACUUAGAACCUCCGGAGGGGCAACCCUCCGGAGACACAACCUUGUCAGCACAGCCUCGUCCCCCGCAAGGGGGCGCCCCCGGCGGCGACGCCGCGGGGCGGGGAACUCCGACUAUUUAAUUCGCUCAGAACGGUCGCGUCGAUGAACAGUCGGCGCGAUCGAUUGGGAGAGGCGGCCUAGCCGCCGUUCCUGAACGAACUAUGGGUGACGCAAGUCGGCCAUAGGGAGAUCGAAAGCUCUUUGUCAAUCGAAUAGAGGUUCAAGGUUUAUCAGAUCGAGUCCCUUUGGCUCUUCCCAGGGCCGGAGGAAUUCUGAUGAACACUGCGACUGCCUCCGCUGGUCCGCCCCUGCAAUGUUGUUGUCUUUCCGUGGGACGGGCCCUGAGAGUGGAGGAGUCGUCGGGCACCUUUUUGGCGAAUGAUGGCCCAUUGCUGACCGUAUGUAUCGUCGCGUCCCGCACGCCCGCGGGGCUCACCCGAGCGAGACCGGGAGGUCAUAGACCCGGCCGAGCGAGGGGGAGUAGUGACGGUGGUCGGUAAACGUGGUCAAGUUACUAAGGGUGCAUGGUGGAUGUCUUGGCAUCGAGAGGCGACGAAGGACGCGGCAGCCUGCGAUAAGCCUCGGGGAGCCGGCAAACAGGCGUUGAUCCGAGGAUUU
rnacentral:misc_RNA from 1 species